rnacentral:rRNA from 1 species
CGAGUGGCGGACGGGUGAGUAAUGUCUGGGAAACUGCCUGAUGGAGGGGGAUAACUACUGGAAACGGUAGCUAAUACCGCAUAACGUCGCAAGACCAAAGAGGGGGACCUUCGGGCCUCUUGCCAUCGGAUGUACCCAGAUGGGAUUAGCUAGUAGGUGGGGUAACGGCUCACCUAGGCGACGAUCCCUAGCUGGUCUGAGAGGAUGACCAGCCACACUGGAACUGAGACACGGUCCAG